rnacentral:rRNA from 1 species
CUCAAAUUUAUAAUCUGGCACCUUCGGUGUCCGAGUUGUAAUCUCUAAAGUGUUUUCCGCGUUGGACCGCACACAAGUCUGUUGGAAUACAGCGGCAUAUGGUGAAACCCCCGUAUAUGGUGCGGACGCCCAGCGCUUUGUGAUACACUUUCAAUGAGUCGAGUUGUUUGGAAUGCAGCUCAAAUUGGGUGGUAAAUUCCAUCUAAAGCUAAAUAUUGGCGAGAGACCGAUAGCGAACAAGUACCGUGAGGGAAAGAUGAAAAGCACUUUGGAAAGAGAGUUAACAGUACGUGAAAUUGUUGGAAGGGAAACGCUUGAAGUCAGACUUGCUUGCCGGAGCUUGCUUCGGUUUGCAGGCCAGCAUCAGUUUUCCGGGGUGGAUAAUGACCGGUUUGAAGGUACAGUCUCGGCUGUGUUAUAGCUUUCCGUUGGAUACGCCCCUGGGGGACUGAGGAACGCAGCGUGCUUUUUGCGAAAGACUCGUCUUUUUC